GAUGAACGCUGGCGGCGUGCCUAAUACAUGCAAGUCGAGCGAACGGACGAGAAGCUUGCUUUUCUGAUGUUAGCGGCGGACGGGUGAGUAACACGUGGAUAGCCUACCUAUAAGACUGGGAUAACUUCGGGAAACCGGAGCUAAUACCGGAUAAUAUUUUGAACCGCAUGGUUCAAAAGUGAAAGACGGUCUUGCUGUCACUUAUAGCUGGAUCCGCGCUGCAUUAGCUAGUUGGUAAGGUAACGGCUUACCAAGGCAACGAUGCAUAGCCGACCUGAGAGGGUGAUCGGCCACACUGGAACUGAGACACGGUCCAGACUCCUACGGGAGGCAGCAGUAGGGAAUCUUCCGCAAUGGGCGAAAGCCUGACGCAGCAACGCCGCGUGAGUGAUGAAGGUCUUCGGAUCGUAAAGCUCUGUUAUUAGGGAAGAACAUAUGUGUAAGUAACUGUGCACAUCUUGACGGUACCUAAUCAGAAAGCCACGGCUAACUACGUG
rnacentral:rRNA from 1 species